GGCCCUCAUCGCCUGGACCUCCCCUUCCACCACAGCCUCCUUCUCCGCCCUCUCCUCCUCGCCCGCGUCCGUCCCCAGUCUCCGGCAGGCUCCUUGCCCCCACCGUCGGCCCUGCUUCUUCCUUCUCCCCUACGCAUGAUGCCCUCAACACUGUCGCCCUCUCUUCUUCACCAUCGCCUCGCUCGCCUCCUCCGUCGUCGAGCCAGCCCUUCUCCGUAUCCGUCGCCAUCACCCCCGGAUCUGCCUCCCCCAUGACCGACGACCAACGAGAGCGGCGUGAGACGGCUUUAGGCGACGAAGGCGGCCCACACCAUGUCAGCCAACGACGCACAGCGGUGGAAGCACGCGAUGGGAGCUGACGACGCCCUUCCUCGGACGGUAUGCCUACCCCCAAUCAGGUCAUCGUCGGCCUCCUGCAGCUGUCCCUCCAUCACCUCCUUCAAGGUUUAGGCGCUCCACCACCUCAGUCCGGGUGCACUGUCUUGCCCUCGACUCCAGUGCCUGUCACCUCCUCCUGGGCCUUGGCGUUACCGUGGCCCCUCGCACAGAGAACCCUCGGUCCAACAAGCAUCUAGGCGUCUUUGGUAGUGGUCUGUCAACAACUUACAAGUUACAGAUGAUGCAAUAUGUAAAGAUAGGCUUCAGCAUAUGAGACAACAUAGAGAUUAGAAUUUCUACAUGUGUAAAGUCAGCAAGGACUCUGUAAUUGAUGCAGCUUUUACAGAACACGCUUCUCGCUUUUUAAACCACAGUUGUCAACCUAACUGUCGGCUGGAGAAAUGGAAUCAGAGGGUCUGCUUUGGGCCCUCAAUUUGUUGCUAAACCACUUGCACCUGAUAACCCUCCACUGAAGGUAAGAUUUAUUGACAACAUCGAUCCUGGUGGGAUUGAUCAUCAAAUUGCUCAACUAGGACCUCAACUGGCAACUAGCUACUCUUGUAAUUGUCAUUUCUAAGAUUUUGGAGGCCCAAGUGAGCAGGCCUUCCUGUUAUCUAGAACACAAAGGCCAUUUACUCCAUUGCAGUGGAUGGAGUUGGAGCACCAGGCUCUCAUGUACAAUCUCAAUGCAAUGGCCCCGGUACCGUACCUUCCAUCCUGCUCAUUUCAAUCAGCAAGAACUUCAUAUCAUCCAAUAGAGAUAUGCAUAUUCUGAAUCAUAAGGCUAAGGUUCUCUACUUCAAAACUACUAGCAUUUGCAAUAAAACAAAAAUAGAAGAUAAAAAUAUUAUUUGCACAAAUGAAUGCCUUUGUAAUGUUACAUGGUAAAUAAUAAUGUUGGCAGCUUUGUAGUAUCAGAAACUACAUGAGCCAUUUGCUCAUUGUAUUGGAUGUUUCUAUAUCUGGAGUUUUGCUGUUAGAGUAUUAAAGUUCUACACUUUACGAUGUAAUAGUUUGUAGAUUCCUCUAUUCAUAUUUUUUGAGUUUAGGUAAUUAACUUUAUGGAUCAUCUUAAGUCCUCAUGGUUGGGGAGUAUGUACUAACAACUAAAGUCAAGACUAGGCAAAAUGAAUCAAACAAGUAAAGCCUGUGGCUGCCUGUAGCUAACUGACAAAUAAAAACGAAUCAAGUUGGCACCAUAGUAACACAAGAGCAGCUGUCAUUCUCCUUUUAUUCCAUAUGAUUAUGUGUUAUUUCACAGUUUAUGAUGGUAACAGAACACUUGAGGGAGGGGGAACUGCUGAAGCGUGUUUCAUCAAGAUCCAAGCAGCACAUGAGCUAUUGAUUCAUGAUGAAAGGAGAAGGGCAUAUGAUAGAGAGGAUCAUGUGAACCCAAUGAAGAUUACCACCGUAUCAUGAUUCAUCAACUCUAACAUGCGUGAGCCAACACUAUGCUUCUCCACUUCAGGACAUGGAUAUGACUCUUCUAUGUUUAAGCCACUACAACUUGGUGUAUUUAUGCCAAAGAUUUUUUGAGCACUAACACACCAAACCAGCGCCUAUGAAGUGCUUUUGUAUGAUCACCUUCUUCUUGCACCAUCCAUGGAUAAUCUACGUAGCUGCAAACAGUCUUAGUUACAUAUUACUGUACUGAACAUCCUUUCAUAGACUACUUGUACACUGCCUUUUUAGAACCGUUGUAAAACCUCAUGCGAUACGUCUGCGCCUUUGAAACAGAGAUCAACUGAACAACCUGUUCAAUGUUUCCUUCUAUUGCAUAUGUAUUCUGUUGUCAUACUAUGUCCAACAAUGCAUUUAUAUUGCUACAA